rnacentral:rRNA from 1 species
GACGAACGCUGGCGGCGUGCUUAACACAUGCAAGUCGAACGCUGAACCCGCUUCGGUGGGGGAUGAGUGGCGAACGGGUGAGUAACACGUGGGCAACCUGCCCCCGGCUCUGGGAUAACUCCAAGAAAUUGGGGCUAAUACCGGAUGUGACCGCUGGCCGCAUGGUCUGGUGGUGGAAAGGGUUUCCGGCUGGGGAUGGGCCCGCGGCCUAUCAGCUUGUUGGUGGGGUAGUGGCCUACCAAGGCGACGACGGGUAGCCGGCCUGAGAGGGUGACCGGCCACACUGGGACUGAGACACGGCCCAGACUCCUACGGGAGGCAGCAGUGGGGAAUAUUGCGCAAUGGGCGGAAGCCUGACGCAGCGACGCCGCGUGGGGGAUGACGGCCUUCGGGUUGUAAACCUCUUUCAGCAGGGACGAAGCGCAAGCGACGGUACCUGCAGAAGAAGCACCGGCCAACUACGUG